CAUGAUGCGGAUUCUGUGAACCUGAUC
rnacentral:piRNA from 1 species